CUUCUCACUUCUCUCACAAUUUCAUCAUGCUUCAGAAGCAUAAUGAAAUCAAAAUGAGUCAUUGUUUGACUGUUCUUGAUUUCAUAAUGCUUGGAUGUGGAACUUUAUCUGGGAUCCAUUACUUGAACUACUGCUGUUGUCUACAGUGAAUCAUGAAAAACUCUUCAGGUAAAAAAGAUUAAAGUUUAUGUGCGUAUAUAUUGUAGAAACCCAGGCACAAGACGGUGGAUGGAGACGUUAGUAGGAGACUUAGAACAUUAGCAAUAACAUAAGAUAAUUGAAGUCACCAGCUUGGCCAAGUGGUUAGGUCGCGAGACUUAAGUUUUCGUCUCUCUAUAGAGACGUGAGUGCGAUUCUCACACCUGGUAGCUUUCUUGUCCUUAUUCAUACGUGGUAUUCAUUUAAUAGAGUUGCCUUAAAUCAUAAGAUAAAUAGAAGUUUAUGAUUGAAAUAUGGAACGAGAAAGGUGAGGUUGUAAUCUCCGUAUUCCAUUUGUACACACUGAGCAAGAGAUGACAUGGUCAUGAGCGAGAUGUUAUCUUUUUUCAAGCGCAUCUGUGUUUAACAUCUGCAGGAAUAAAAAGCCGGUAAUCACGACAAUAUUGCCGUUGUUACACUGGACUUAGAAGUGCUCGCCAGCUCUGUCACUCCCGUCCAGUUGGGGUACACAUUAUUCCCGAGAAUCAGAAUUGAUCAGUUGGUCACCGUCGGCUGGGGCAACUCAGCAACUACGGUAUCGACCCCGGAUUCUUAUGACGCGAAAGUCUUAUUCACACCUAACGUAUCAACUGUAACUUAACUCAUGAAGGGGUUAAUCGAAAUGUCUCCUCAUAAUUUGGCUCAAGCGGAUAAACAACGCAUUGAGUUUGAGAAAACAGUUUGCCAUCUUCGAAGACAAGCACCUUUGAUUUGUCAGUUAGGGUGCAUUUUAUCGUCAACUUUAUGGCAACAGGUUACGCCACGAUAAAAAAAAAAUAAUUUUUUUUCACCCAAUCUUUUUUUUUUUUUUUGUAAUCGCGUCCACCUAGCGCUCGAUUUUUAACUCGGUUUCCUAAGUCAGAGAAAAUAUUUUAACGGAGUGUCCACGUUGCUCAGUCUCUCCAACUGCAUUCAACUGUUCAUAUUGCUUAGUCUAUCAUAUUGCAAGCCUAUUAAUUGCCUUUAGUUCAGGUAAUUCAUCCACAUUGUCUGGGAAGGCAAUAGUUGUCCAAGUGUCCAGAUUUGGUGAUUCUAUCCAACAGCAUUCCAUUGUCCACCUUGCUGAGCUUAUCAAGUACAAUCCUGCUUAUUGCCUUGGCAUCAGUUAUUUCAUACACAUUGUCUGAAGGCAGUAGUUGUGUGGCAUUGCAGUCCAAGUGUCCAUAUUUGCUGAGCCUAUCCGACAGCAUUCCGGUGUCCACCUUGCUGAACCUAUUCAACAGCAUUCAAGUGUUCACCAAAGCACUCGAUCGACGUCAACAAGAUCUCAUAAACAAUAUUUAACGAGAAAAUGUAAUUCCAGAACAAGCACACGAAAUAGAUCGACGUCAAGGACAA